AUUGAACGCUGGCGGCAUGCCUUACACAUGCAAGUCGAACGGCAGCGCGGGGCAACCUGGCGGCGAGUGGCGAACGGGUGAGUAAUAUAUCGGAACGUGCCCUGGAGUGGGGGAUAACGUAGCGAAAGUUACGCUAAUACCGCAUACGAUCCAAGGAUGAAAGCAGGGGACCUUCGGGCCUUGUGCUCCUGGAGCGGCCGAUAUCUGAUUAGCUAGUUGGUGGGGUAAAAGCCUACCAAGGCGACGAUCAGUAGCUGGUCUGAGAGGACGACCAGCCACACUGGAACUGAGACACGGUCCAGACUCCUACGGGAGGCAGCAGUGGGGAAUUUUGGACAAUGGGGGCAACCCUGAUCCAGCAAUGCCGCGUGUGUGAAGAAGGCCUGGUUGUAAG
rnacentral:rRNA from 1 species